rnacentral:rRNA from 1 species
AGAGUUUGAUCAUGGCUCAGGACGAACGCUGGCGGCGCGCUUUACGCAUGCAAGUCGCACGGACCUUCGGGUUAGUGGCGGACGGCUGAGUAACGCGUAGGCAAUCUGCCCAGUGGUGGGGGACAACCUGCCGAAAGGCGGGCUAAUACCGCAUAAGUUCACCGGGUGAAAAUCCCGGUGAGGAAAGCAGUAAUGUGCCACUGGAGGAGCCUGCGUCCUAUCAGGUAGUUGGUGGGGUAACGGCCUACCAAGCCGAUGACGGGUAGCUGGUCUGAGAGGUCGACCAGCCAGAAGGGGACUGAGACACGGCCCCUACUCCUACGGGAGGCAGCAGCGAGGAAUCUUGGGCAAUGGGCGAAAGCCUGACCCAGCGACGCCGCGUGAGGGAAGAAGGUCUUCGGGUCGUAAACCUCUUUUAUGGGGGAAGAAGUUCUGACGGUACCCCAUGAAUAAGCCACGGCUAACUACGUGCCAGCAGCCGCGGUAAUACGUAGGUGGCGAGCGUUGUCCGGAUUUACUGGGCGUAAAGGGCUUGUAGGCGGUUCGUUAAGUCCGGUGUGAAAUCUCCCGGCUCAACUGGGAGGGGUCAUCGGAUACUGGCGGACUAGAGGGGGGUAGAGGAAAGCAGAAUUCCUGGUGUAGCGGUGAAAUGCGUAGAUAUCAGGAGGAAUACCAGUGGCGAAGGCGGCUUUCUGGGCCUACCCUGACGCUGAGGAGCGAAAGCGUGGGGAGCAAACCGGAUUAGAUACCCUAGUAGUCC